CGACCGUGGGCAUUUCAAUAUAUAUAAAGACUGUUGUGGGAAAAAUGACCUCCUGGGUCAGCUUACUGCAUGGUCAUCGACACAGGGCAGGGAGUAAGAUUCUGUGGAUUUUACAGAAGCAGAUACAGGUUUCAUUAUCCAUGUCCUCUCCCCUUUCAUCUUACAAAAACAGCAGGCUUUUCUUGGAGAACUGCCAGAUAAUGCCAUCCUGCCUCCUCACGGGCCCCGGGGAUGAGUCUCCCAGGGACUGAACUCCAGUAAAGCAGGUGAUUGGCUCAUGGGUAGGCAUCUGACCUCGGCUAAGUCUAUCAGACUCCUCCCCAGGACUUUUCUCUCGGAGAAAAAUGGAAGAAUUGUCUUUUCUCUCUGGAAUUUCUAAGCUGGGGAGAUACGACUCUGGGACUCCCAGUUACCAUCCAGCACAAGAAGAGACUUUCUGUAAAAUAAAGUCUUGCAGAGGUAAGCAGGGCUGAGCGAUGGAGAGAGAGCUGGAACCCUGCUGAUACUCUGGAACUUCCAGAUCCAACUGUAUCUGAAUAUGGCUGCAUCCCUGAAUUUCUAGUACUUGUUUGUUGAGGUUGUUGUUGUUGUUGGGUUUUUGUUUUUAAAUUUCCUUUGACUAUUUUGAAUUUGUUUUCAGUAAUGUGCAUUUGAAAGCAUCAUAGCUAAAAGAGCUAAUUUCCUAUAUUAAUGUCAGGUUUGCUGACUGGCAUUCCUUAAGUGAAAAAUAAUAUCCGCUAUUUUCUUUAAAUAAAAUCCUUCUAGCUCAGGUUUGAGAUAUUCAAAACUCUGCCUCCUACCCGCCUCUUUUCCAACAUUUACUAUAUCACCUUGAAGCAUUUGUGACCACAUCUUUCCCAUCUAGACGCAGUUGAGAGAGAGAGCAAAGACUUCUGAUAUAAACUGCAACCUAUAUGCCUCCUACCUGGAAGCUUUAGAACAUACUUGAUUCUUGUCAUUAAAGCAAAUCUUUUGUUGUUGUCUCCAGGGCACAGAAGCAUUUUCAUGGCAUAAUGGAGUACAAAGUACAUUAAGCCUAACUCUACUUCUCACCCUCUUUUACUUUAAAUAGGCAGAAAAGAACAAUCUCAAACACAUUUUCCCAACAAAUAAAAUACAUAUACGAUUAUGUUUAGAAGACGUUUAUGCAGCAUAUAGUUAGACUGAUUAAUUAAUGGACCUUUCGCCAAUUGGCACAGUAAAUAUAUAUGUUCAAUGUGCUUAAUUAAAAAGAAGACAAUAACAUAUGUUUACAGGUUAAUUAUCUGAGAAGAGUAUUGUGCCAGCACACUUGAUGCUACAGUAUUUCAUGUUUGACAGCUGUUGAUUCCUUCUCUUGUUCUGGAUGGAAGAUAGCAACGAAGCCACUUCAAAGGGCUCAGCCUGCCUUUUUGUGUUAUUGUUUAGAUGAAGAUAUUUCCAUUUAUUAAAGCACACUAUUUAAACAUUUU